AUACGAUAACGGCAAAAUAUUUGAAAAAGUAUGACGCAAAGCUACGGAUCUAAGGAGUCUCCCACUCUAUGACCGCCGAGCUACCUAU
rnacentral:ncRNA from 1 species